UUUCCCGAAUUGUUAAGAGCUAGAGGUAUAUAUAUAUUACUGUAGCAUAAUUAUUUGUAAUAUACUUCUUGUAAUUAUAUGUUAUUCGUUUUUCAAGAUAUCUGGUUUUUCAGGAAAUUAAUUUAAUUAAGUUGAUCGUUGAAUUGAUCUAUAUAUGAGGUUUUUUAUUUGAGUUUAUUUAAUAUUCAAGGGGAUAAGCUUUUGAGUAAAUUGAUAUAAUGGUUAUCGUUUUUGAUGAGGAGUAGGAAUAGAAGUUUUUAUCUGUUUAAGUGUGUUAUUACUUGUUGUCGAGAGAUGGGAUUUUUUUAUUUUUAUAUUUUUUACUGAAAUUAUAAUUUUAAUUUUUGUUAUUUUGUAAUCAUGAUUAAAUUAGUAUAUAAUUUUGUAUAAGUUAUUUUUUAGGGCAAGGUUAUUUGAAGGAACUCGGCAAAUAAAUUUUCCGCCUGUUUAUUAAAAACAUGGCUUUUUGUGAAUAAUCUAAGGUCUGACCUGCUCUAUGAUUAAUUAAAUGGCUGCGGUAUUUUGACCGUGCAAAGGUAGCAUAAUCAUUAGUUUUUUUAUUGGAAGCUGGUAUGAAUGGUUGGACAAGAAAGUAUCUGUCUCUGGAUAAUUUUAUUUGAACUUUAUUUUUUAGUGAAAAGGCUAAAAUGGGUGUGAGGGACGAGAAGACCCUAUAGAAUUUUACAAAAUAAUUAUGGUGAGGUUUUUAGGAUAUUUUACUUAGUUGUAAUGAUUUUGUUUUGUUGGGGUGAUAGAAAAAUUUGAUUAACUUUUUUUUUUUAAGUGCAUUGAUUUAUGUUUAUUUGAUCCAUUUUUUAUGAUUAUAAGAUUAAAUUACCUUAGGGAUAACAGCGUUAUUGGUUUGGAGAGUUCUUAUCGAUAAACUAGUUUGCGACCUCGAUGUUGGAUUAAAAUUAAUUUUUGGUGUAGGGGCUAAUAAUUUAAGUCUGUUCGACUU
rnacentral:rRNA from 1 species